AUAGCGUAUACUAAAGUUGUUGCAGUUAAAAAGCUCGUAGUUGGAUCUCGGGUCGUGCCGAGCGGUUCGCUUCGCGGCGGUACUUCUCGGCGCGGCCUAGCCGCCGGUCUUCGCUUGGUGCUCUUCGUUGAGUGCCUCGCGCGGCCGACAGAUUUACUUUGAAAAAAUUAGAGUGCUCAAAGCAGGCGCUUCGCUUGUAUAGUCGUGCAUGGAAUAAUGGAAUAGGACCUCGGUUCUAUUUUGUUGGUUUUCGGAGCCCGAGGUAAUGAUUAAGAGGAACAGACGGGGGCAUUCGUAUUCCGGCGCUAGAGGUGAAAUUCUUGGACCGCCGGAAGACGGACGACUG
rnacentral:rRNA from 1 species